rnacentral:rRNA from 1 species
AGAGCGAACGCUGGCGGCAGGCUUAACACAUGCAAGUCGAGCGGGCGUAGCAAUACGUCAGCGGCAGACGGGUGAGUAACGCGUGGGAACAUACCUUUUGGUUCGGAACAACCCAGGGAAACUUGGGCUAAUACCGGAUAAGCCCUUACGGGGAAAGAUUUAUCGCCGAAAGAUUGGCCCGCGUCUGAUUAGCUAGUUGGUGAGGUAACGGCUCACCAAGGCGACGAUCAGUAGCUGGUCUGAGAGGAUGAUCAGCCACAUUGGGACUGAGACACGGCCCAAACUCCUACGGGAGGCAGCAGUGGGGAAUAUUGGACAAUGGGCGCAAGCCUGAUCCAGCCAUGCCGCGUGAGUGAUGAAGGCCCUAGGGUUGUAAAAGCUCUUUUGUGCGGGAAGAUAAUGACGGUACCGCAAGAAUAAGCCCGGCUAACUUCGCGCCAGCAGCCGC